AAUGGCUCAUUAAAUCAGUUAUCGUUUAUUUGAUAGUACCUUACUACUUGGAUAACCGUGGUAAUUCUAGAGCUAAUACAUGCUAAAAACCCCAACUUCGGGAGGGGUGUAUUUAUUAGAUAAAAAACCAAUGCCCUUCGGGGCUCCUUGGUGAUUCAUGAUAACUUCUCAGAUCGCAUAGCCUUGUGCUGGCGACGGUUCAUUCAAAUUUCUGCCCUAUCAACUUUCGAUGGUAAGGUAUUGGCUUACCAUGGUUUCAACGGGUAACGGGGAAUUAGGGUUCGAUUCCGGAGAGGGAGCCUGAGAAACGGCUACCACAUCCAAGGAAGGCAGCAGGCGCGCAAAAUUACCCAAUUCCGAUACGGAGAGGUAGUGACAAUAAAUACUGAUACAGGGCUCUUUUGGGUCUUGUAAUUGGAAUGAGUACAAUUUAAAUCCUCUUAACGAGGAACAAUUGGAGGGCAAGUCUGGUGCCAGCAGCCGCGGUAAUUCCAGCUCCAAUAGCGUAUAUUAAAGUUGUUGCAGUUAAAAAGCUCGUAGUUGAACCUUUGGCCUGGCUGGCAGGUCCGCCUCACCGCGUGCACUGGUCCGGCCGGGCCUUUUCUUCUGGAGAACCGCAUGCCCUUCACUGGGUGUGUUGGGGACCAGGACUUUUACUUUGAAAAAAUUAGAGUGUUCAAAGCAGGCCUUUGCUCGAAUACGUUAGCAUGGAAUAAUAGAAUAGGACGUGCGGUCCUAUUUUGUUGGUUUCUAGGACCGCCGUAAUGAUUAAUAGGGACAGUCGGGGCAUCAGUAUUCAAUUGUCAGAGGUGAAAUUCUUGGAUUAUUGAAGACUAACUACUGCGAAACAUUUGCCAAGGAUGUUUC
rnacentral:rRNA from 1 species